GGCACCCUAACUGACAUACCUCCAUCUGCCUCCUUUGUCAUCUGAACUCUGGAGACUUUCACAUGGUAACCUCCCAACUGAUGAUAAGCUUUGUGAAAAAAUGCUGCUACAUAGUUUCCAUGUGCUCUCUCUGGGGUAAAAAUUAUGAAACUGCUGACCACCGUUUUUUGCAAUACUCUUUUGCUUCUUGUUUGUGGAUUUGGAUAAGGGAUGCCUUAGAUUGCAGGAUUGGCACUACUUCAAUUCUUGCAUUCACCUCUUCCAAGCAUUCUUACUGGUCACCCCAAUCUGGCAUAGUAGAAACCAAAGGCGGUUCCACGAUCGUUCUUUUUCAGUUCAGCAAUAUAUUUAUAUGGUAGUGAGCAAAACUCACGUCACUGGCACCUUUAUAACUUCACAAAUCAUAGGGGUCUUUUUUUGGUUGUUUUGCAACUCACUUGGGGAUCCAAACUUCUUUGCAUGCAGAAAUUGUGGAUGCUAUCCUAGCUAUUGAGCUUGCUGACAAGAAGGGGUGGAAAAACCUUUGGCUAGAAUGUGUGAUUCAAUUUUUUUUUGGAGUUCAAGCUUUUUCCAACAGUUCUUUGAUCCCUUGGCCCCUCAAGAAUAGAUGGUAUAACUGUAUAGAUAUAGCAAAAAAUAUGAAUUUUAUUGUUGAUUAUAUUUAUAAAGAGGACAAUUCUUUUGUUUCAGCAGAAUUGAAUAAGAAUUGGACAGGUCUUCCAAACUAUUGAUUCUUAUAAAUUUCUGCAGCAUGAUUUUUAGUUUUUUGUCUCCUCUUGCUUUCUUUGUACUGGCUUUUAUCCUUUAUUGUUCAAUAAAUUUUCAGGGUGCACCACAAGAAAAUUUAGUUCUAGCUACUGACAAAAUUUGUCACUAUAAGUCAAUAAUCCAUAUAUAUAAAAGCACGAUUGAUAUUUAUCUAUUAACAUUUUUUCUGUCAACUUUAAGGAAUGGUAUUGUGACGGUUAUUUAGUUUAUAUGUUUAAGUUUUACCUAUAUACAUAACAAAAAAUACGUUUGAGCUGUCAACCCAGUGGAGAUCUCUUACAUUAUUGUGAAUCUUCAUCAUACCAUUGUUUAUAAAAAAAAUUAUUCCAAGAUCGGUAAACAUGGUAUAAUAAACGAAACCUUAUUGUUCAUUUGAAUAAAUUAUUUAUAAUAAUAAUAAUAAUAAUAGUUUUUUAAAAAAUAAAUUUUAAUUUUCAAGUCAUGAGCAUUGUUAAUUGAAAUCAUGAUCAAUUAAAAAAUUAAUAUGUAUCAAUUGAUUAUCAUAAUUAUAUUGUAGUUAUUUUAAAUAUGUAUCUUAAAAUAAUUGAAUUUUCAUACAUUAAAUUAUUCAUUAUAAUAAUGUGAUAUGGUGGCAUGAUUUAACGUACGUAUGAAGGUAAAACACAAAUAAUCAUAAUUUUUAAGAAAAUAUGGACAACUACUAAAAAUAUUCAUAACUUUCUUCUUGAUUGUCCAUUAUUUAAGAAUGUAUAUGGUUAAAAUCAUAUUAAAAAAAACCUUGUGAUACGAAACCUAGUGAACGAAAGGAUUAGCAAUGAGGACCCAAAAAGUAUAGUAUCUAGGGGUGGGUAUUCAGGUCAAGGGUACUUUGAGCGUUGAGAUUUCCAUUUUUGAACGAAUAUCUUCGCAUUUGUCGAAAUCGCAAAUAAAGUCUAUCGUCGACAAGCACUAGGUGUGCAAUGCAACACCCUAAUAAAUGUUACAUUUUAGCUUUUUAUAUUAUUAAAUUUUGUAAACUAAGGAUAUGAGAGUAUAAGAGUUAAUUAUACAGAAACUAAAACUUAAACAUGUAUAAGUUAAGGAAGUUUAAAACAAAAUUAGUGACUCUUACAUGCCUUACAAAACAUAAUCAAGGUACAUAUAAGAUGAACUAAGUUAACCCAAAGAGUUGAUAUAGGGGUGUAAAGUCUCAAUGCGUUCACCUGAGUGAACAUAAUCUAUUUAGCGGGAGAGUUUAUGUUUAAUUCUCAUCGUAUACAAAAUUUUCUUGGGACGCACCGCUAACGGGAUUAGUCUCUGACCCAGUGAGUUGGGAGACACUCAUGACUUCUAACCUAGGACCAAAAAAAAUCUCAUACAUUGGAAGUUACAUAAUGACACUAAUCUUCCUCCAAGCAAGUAGCUCCAAGCUUCUCUCAUGAGAUAUUCAUCUACUAAUCUCUAAAAAAAAUGAAAACUAAAAGGGAUGAGACAUAACAUCUCAAUGAGUACUCUAAGGACUCUAGGUUGACUCUAUAUUGUAGAGAUCCUUUUCUUAACUCCCAUGGUUUUUUUUUUCUUUUCUCAAACACUCUAUUUCAAACCUAUUAUCACAUCAAUCAUUAUCACAUCUAUCUCAUUGUAUCAUACCUUAAAUUUCACUUAGGCACCUAAAGUUAAUCAACCUUGGCUAACUCUAAGGCCACUAGUGUCUUAUGGCACAUCAACAACAUUCUCUUAUUUUUGACAACUAAGUAGAAUCUCACUUCAUUGUUUGAUUGAAUGAAAAAUAUGUACAACCUCUUCACCUCUUUGUUUUCUAACUACCUAAUAUGGGCUCACAUUACCUCUCUAUUAAGCAUAUUUUCUUUCUACAAGUCAAUUGCAUAAUAACCCUAAGUUAGAUUCAUCCAUAUGCAAAACAUAAGCAAAUUCCAAUCAAGAAAAAAAAAAGAAAAAAAGAUAAACUUUAUAUACUUCAAAAAACAAGGCAUAUAACUAACCAACAUUUUGUAACUCAACUCAUUUUAUAAAAAGUUAUCUUAUACAUAUGCAUCAAUAUGUUUAUAAUUCAACUCAUUUUAUCAAAAGUUAUCUUAUACAUAUACAUCAAUAUAUACUAGCAGACCAUAACAUCAUAGAUCAAUCACCAAACAUCACCAUGUGAAUUCAAACAUCAAUUAUCAAAAAUUCUCAUCAUCAUCCAAUCAUUAGAAUUCAUCAUAACAUCUGACUAAAACAUAAUCACAUAUAUAAUAAUCAAUCCUCAUAAUUUCUCAUCAAGCUCAAUCAUCAUAACUGUCACACACUAAAAACAAUCUAGGUCGUAAGCAUCACAAUUGACACACACUAAUAGCUAACUAGGCCACUUCAACUCAAAUAUCAACACUGACUCUACUCCAUGGAGUUUCAACAUAAUAUGAGCAGUCCCCCACGAGUCUCAUCCUUUAACAUAGUCGGGAGUCUUUUGCGCCAACCCUAUGAAGGAAGUGUGAUUUUAUCGAAAAUAGACAAGUAUGGGUAUUGAUUUACCUUUGUAGGUUUGCAAGACCAUACAUCUAUAAGAAUCACUAACUUGUAUAUUCUAUAGGUUCAUUCCCGUUAGCUACCACAAAAACUUCCAACACUAGGUUGAGAGCCCACCUAGCACCCUCAACUUACGUGCCUACUCAUAUGUCUAUGCACCCACCAUUUACCAACAACAACAAUACAUUUUUGUACACACAUCGUGUAUCAUCAACAACAACUUCUUCACUAUACACAAAAACUACCAACUAAACCUCUUGGGAAGUAGUUUUUAUCACUCUGACAUGUCAUUCGAAGUCAAAACAUAGGGGUACUUGGGAAGAUACCCCACUAGGCAUCAAUGGGGUAGAGUCCUGGUGUGGAACUCAUUAUUUUCCACACAUAUAGAAUGAUUUGCAUACAAGAUAUCAAUCAUCAUCAACAUUUCAUCAAUAGUUCAUUUCAAUUUCUCAAAACAUCACAUUUUUCCUAAUAUUUCGUUCAACAAGUAACAAGUAUGUUUCUUCAUAUACAUAUAAAUACCUUAAUUUAACAUAAACAUUUUAUAAUUAAACAUAUUACAUUUUUAUAAAUAUUUUUAGAUCAUAUAAACCAUCAAAGAAGGAAAUAUUUCAAGUGAAUCUCAUAAUAACCAAAUUCUAGUCUAGUUAGUUGUUAUCGCAACCCAACCAGGACUCCCAUGAAGCUAAAUUACCUAUUCUAUCACAUACUGGCCCAUUCGAAUGACUCUGUCGUUGGGUCAAACACCUCUGUCACUUUUUUGGCCCAACCGAACAAACUUUAGCUGAGCUAAAAACCUUUGGAGUGAAAAAUCAAUUUCAGCACACUCUAGUCCAGCUGAAACAAACUUUGGCUGGGAAGGAACCCUCUAAAGCUAAAAGUUUCAUACCGUCACACUUUGGCUGAGCCAGAAUGAAAGGAAGUUGCAAAUUUGCAAGUUCCAUGGCCAUUAAUGACUUUUUAAUCAAACCCAUCAAAACACUCCUAAACACUUGUAUUAUCUUUCUAACCAAUUAAUCUACUCAGUUAACUCCUCAAUCAAACUAAAUCAUGAAAAAUUCUCAAAUCUCUUAUCUUAGGGUUCAAGGGGGAAAAUGGGAAAAACAAGCAAGACAAAUGGAUAAAGAAAGACAAGGGGCAUACUCGGGGAAUCAACCUCUAGGUUUAAGAACCUCUAAAAUCUCGACUCUUCUUUCUCUCUUCCUCUUAUUCUCUUCUUCUUUCUAUCUUCCGUCUCUCCACCUUUCUCUUUCUUUCUUUAAUUCUCUCUCUAAGCCUCCCUUUCUUCCUC
rnacentral:lncRNA from 1 species